UACGUAGGGACCGAGCGUUGUCCGGAAUCAUUGGCGUAAAGAGCGUGUAGGCGGCCACUUAAGUCCUGCGUGAAAUCCUGCGCUCAACCGCAGGCGGUCGUGGGAAACUGGGUGGCUAGAGUGCGGGAGAGGAGAGUGGAAUUCCUGGUGUAGCGGUGGAAUGCGCAGAUAUCAGGAAGAACACCCGUGGCGAAGGCGGCUCUCUGGAACGCAACUGACGCUGAGACGCGAAAGCGUGGGAGCAAACGGG
rnacentral:rRNA from 1 species